UACGAAGGGGGCUAGCGUUGUUCGGAAUUACUGGGCGUAAAGCGCACGUAGGCGGAUACUUAAGUUAGGGGUGAAAAUCCCAGAGCUCAACUCUGGAACUGCCUUUAAUACUGGGUAUCUCGAGUCCGGAAGAGGUGAGUGGAAUUCCGAGUGUAGAGGUGAAAUUCGUAGAUAUUCGGAGGAACACCAGUGGCGAAGGCGGCUCACUGGUCCGGUACUGACGCUGAGGUGCGAAAGCGUGGGAGCAAACAGG
rnacentral:rRNA from 1 species